UUCAGAACUCCGCGUGAAGUUCUCCUACCAGCUACUCGGGAGGCUGAGACAGGAGGAUCGCUUGAGUCCGGGAGUUCUGGGCUGUAGUGCGCUACGCCAAUCAGGUGUCAGCACUAAGUCCGGCAUUGAUAUGGUGACCUCCCGGGAGCGGCGGGGGCUUGGGGGGGGGGGCACCAGGUUCCUAAGGAGGGGUGAACCAGCCCAGGUCAGAAACAGAGCAGGUCAAAACUCCCGUGCUGAUCAGUAGCGGGGUCGCACCUGUGAAUAGCCACUGCAGAUGAUGGUGGUGAUGGCGUCGGU
rnacentral:SRP_RNA from 1 species